UACAGAGGUCUCAAGCGUUGUUCGGAUUCAUUGGGCGUAAAGGGUGCGUAGGCGGCGCGGUAAGUCGGGUGUGAAAUCUUGGAGCUUAACUCCGAAACUGCAUUCGAUACUGCCGUGCUUGAGGACUGGAGAGGAGACUGGAAUUUACGGUGUAGCAGUGAAAUGCGUAGAUAUCGUAAGGAAGACCAGUGGCGAAGGCGAGUCUCUGGACAGUUGCUGACGCUGAGGCACGAAGGCCAGGGGAGCAAACGGG
rnacentral:rRNA from 1 species